rnacentral:rRNA from 1 species
GAUGAACGCUGGCGGCGUGCUUAACACAUGCAAGUCGAACGGUGAAGCAGGAGCUUGCUCCUGUGGAUCAGUGGCGAACGGGUGAGUAACACGUGAGCAAUCUGCCCUGGACUCUGGGAUAAGCGUUGGAAACGACGUCUAAUACCGGAUACGAGGCGUGGGGGCAUCCCCAACGCCUGGAAAGAACUUCGGUCCAGGAUGAGCUCGCGGCCUAUCAGGUAGUUGGUGAGGUAACGGCUCACCAAGCCUACGACGGGUAGCCGGCCUGAGAGGGUGACCGGCCACACUGGGACUGAGACACGGCCCAGACUCCUACGGGAGGCAGCAGUGGGGAAUAUUGCACAAUGGGCGAAAGCCUGAUGCAGCAACGCCGCGUGAGGGACGACGGCCUUCGGGUUGUAAACCUCUUUUAGCAGGGAAGAAGCGAAAGUGACGGUACCUGCAGAAAGAGCACCGGCUAACUACGUGCCAGCCGCCGCCGUAACGC